AAGUAAAAAGAGGAUCUGUCAUUUAUAUAGGUAGAGAGACAAGCAUGUGGUCCAGGCCAUUGUCAGAGACAGACUGCUGGACUUGGUGGAUCAGUCAUUUGUGGAGAUUGCAGGACUCUGGAUCUUCGACUGCUGGACCCAGACUGGCACGGGCGGAGACAGGAGGAGCACAGAGCCUUCAUGGAUGACUGGACCCAGGAACCACAGCAGCUGGAACCAGGAAAAAUGUCCCACGGUCCCCCAUGUAACUGAGCUUGCUGAGUUCACAAUCAAAAGGUGUAAUUUUCCAUCUCUGAUGCUUCCUGUAACAGGUACCCUGGAAAUUCUUCAUUAAUGGAGUUAACUCUUCCUUCACAAAAGUGGGCUUCGGUUUUAAAUUAGUGAACUCUCCUCAAGAGAAUCAACACAACCAUGCAUUUGAAAUAGUGGGUUUUUUA